rnacentral:misc_RNA from 1 species
GUGAAUCAUCGAAUUUUUGAACGCAAAUUGCACUCUCUGGUAUUCCGGGGAGUAUGCCUGUUUGAGGGUCAGUUUAAAUUAAAAACCGAGGGGUUGCUUUUUUUUGUGACGCAUCGGAAUUUGGUUAUCUUUGCCCUUUGGAUUUUUUAAGAGACCUAAAAUCGAUACUUUUUGCAUCUUAGAUGUACAUUAAUAAUAU